rnacentral:rRNA from 1 species
GCUGUGUGUUACAAGUGUCACACGGAACUGCCGGUCAUAAACGGAGGAAGUGGGAUGACGUCAAGUCAGCAUGGCCUUUAUAUCCUGGGCUACACACACGCUACAAUGGGAAGGGACAAUAGGUUGCGAAGCCGCGAGGCGGAGCCAAUCCAGCAAAACUUCCCUCAGUUCAGAUUGCAGGCUGCAACUCGCCUGCAUGAAGUUGGAGUUGCUAGUAAACGCAGGUCAGCCAUACUGCGUUGAAUACGUUCCCGGGGCUU